AGCAGUAGCCGCGGUAAUACGUAGGUGGCAAGCGUUGUCCGGAAUUAUUGGGCGUAAAGGGCUCGCAGGCGGUUUCUUAAGUCUGAUGUGAAAGCCCCCGGCUCAACCGGGGAGGGUCAUUGGAAACUGGGAAACUUGGGUGCAGAAGAGGAGAGUGGAAUUCCACGAGUAGCGGUGAAAUGCGUAGAUAUCGGAAGGAACACCAGGGCGAAGGCGGCUACCUGGACUGAGACUGACACUGAGGCGCGAGAGCGUGGGGAGCAAACAGGAUUAGAUACCCCCGUAGUCCCUGUCUCUUAUACC
rnacentral:rRNA from 1 species